UACGGAGGGGGCUAGCGUUGUUCGGAAUUACUGGGCGUAAAGCGCACGUAGGCGGUUAUUUAAGUCAGAGGUGAAAGCCCGGGGCUCAACCUCGGAAUAGCCUUUGAGACUGGAUAGCUUGAAUCCAGGAGAGGUGAGUGGAAUUCCGAGUGUAGAGGUGAAAUUCGUAGAUAUUCGGAAGAACACCAGUGGCGAAGGCGGCUCACUGGACUGGUAUUGACGCUGAGGUGCGAAAGCGUGGGGAGCAAACAGG
rnacentral:rRNA from 1 species